UACGGUGGGGGCAAGCGUUGUUCGGAAUUACUGGGCGUAAAGGGCUUGUAGGUGGCCAACUAAGUCAGACGUGAAAUCCCUCGGCUUAACCGGGGAACUGCGUCUGAUACUGGAUGGCUGGAGAGUGGGAGAGGGAUGCGGAAUUCCAGGUGUAGCGGUGAAAUGCGUAGAUAUCUGGAGGAACACCGGUGGCGAAGGCGGCAUCCUGGACCAACACUGACACUGAAAAGCGAAAGCCAGGGGAGCAAACGGG
rnacentral:rRNA from 1 species